GUUGGGAACCCGAAUUUGAAGAAAGCCCAUUGUCCAAGACCUGCUUGUGUUGUAUCAGCAUCUGAUCAAAAUACAUAACCAGGGACUGGAUAUUGAGGAAAUCCUGGGUCACAACUGAUGUACGCGCCAGAACUUCUGCCACCGACAAAAUCUAUGUCGACACAUCCUCAUUGAUGUCUCUGCAGCAAAAACAAAGCAGCAACAACUGAGCAUGUUCCCCCUUCCCCUACUAUCUCAAGGGACAAGUGCUGUUGUUGUUGAUAUGUAUCUAAGAGCAUAGGUGCCUAAUUAUAGUGUAAAGUGGAGUUGCCACCAAGACAGAGUUCAUCUGCAUCUUCCAGCAGAGAUAUUUCAAACAUUUUAAGAUGACAUUAUCAAGUUGUAGCAAAUGAGGCUGUUGUAACAGUCUCAUAAUUAUAACAUCAACAUCAAUAAAACUUUGAAAUUGUU